rnacentral:rRNA from 1 species
UCCUUUAAAGAAAGCGUAAUAGCUCACUAGUCGAAUCGGCCUGCGCGGAAGAUAUAACGGGGCUCAAACUAUACACCGAAGCUACGGACGCAUGCUUGCAUGCGUGGUAGAGGAGCGUUCUGUAGGCCGUUGAAGGGAAAGCUGAGAGGCAUCCUGGAGGUAUCAGAAGUGCGAAUGCUGACAUGAGUAACGAUAAGGGGAGUGAAAAGCUCCCCCGCCGGAAGACCAAGGUUUCCUAUCCAAUGCUAAUCAGGGUAGGGUGAGUCGGCCCCUAAGGCGAGGCUGAAGAGCGUAGUCGAUGGGAAGCAGGUUAAUAUUCCUGCACCACUCAAUAUUGCGAAGGAGGGACGGAGAAGGCUAGUCCAGCGCGGCGUUGGUUGUCCGCGUUUAAGCGUGUAGGCUUAAAUCUUAGGUAAAUCCGGGAUUUUUUAAGGCUGAGGCGUGAUGACGAGGUCCAUUAGGACUGAAGUGGUUGAUGCCAUGCUUCCAGGAAAAGCUUCUAAGCAUCAGAUAUUGAGUGACCGUACCCCAAACCGACACAGGUGGUCAGGUAGAGAAUACCAAGGCGCUUGAGAGAACUCGGGUGAAGGAACUAGGCAAAAUGGUACCGUAACUUCGGGAGAAGGUACGCCGCUGAUGGUGAUGGGACUUGCUCCCUAAGCUGUUGGCGGCCGAAGAUACCAGGUGGCUGCGACUGUUUAUUAAAAACACAGCACUGUGCAAACACGAAAGUGGACGUAUACGGUGUGACGCCUGCCCGGUGCCGGAAGGUUAAUUGAUGGGGUUAGCUUCGGCGAAGCUCUUGAUCGAAGCCCCGGUAAACGGCGGCCGUAACUAUAACGGUCCUAAGGUAGCGAAAUUCCUUGUCGGGUAAGUUCCGACCUGCACGAAUGGCGUAACGACGGCCACACUGUCUCCACCCGAGACUCAGUGAAAUUGAAAUCGCUGUUAAGAUGCAGUGUAUCCGCGGCUAGACGGAAAGACCCCGUGAACCUUUACUAUAGCUUCACAGUGAACUUUGAACCUAUUUGUGUAGGAUAGGUGGGAGGCUUUGAAACUGGGACGCUAGUCUCAGUGGAGCCAAACUUGAAAUACCACCCUGGUAUGUUUGAGGUUCUAACUCAGGUCCGUAAUCCGGAUCGAGGACACUGUGUGGUGGGUAGUUUGACUGGGGCGGUCUCCUCCCAAAGAGUAACGGAGGAGCACGAAGGUAUGCUAAUCAUGGUCGGAAAUCAUGAGGUUAGUGCAAUGGCAUAAGCAUGCUUAACUGCGAGACAGACACGUCGAGCAGAUACGAAAGUAGGUCAUAGUGAUCCGGUGGUUCUGAAUGGAAGGGCCAUCGCUCAACGGAUAAAAGGUACUCCGGGGAUAACAGGCUGAUACCGCCCAAGAGUUCAUAUCGACGGCGGUGUUUGGCACCUCGAUGUCGGCUCAUCACAUCCUGGGGCUGGAGCAGGUCCCAAGGGUAUGGCUGUUCGCCAUUUAAAGUGGUACGCGAGCUGGGUUUAGAACGUCGUGAGACAGUUCGGUCCCUAUCUGCCGUGGACGUUUGAGAUUUGAGAAGAGUUGCUCCUAGUACGAGAGGACCGGAGUGAACGAACCUCUGGUGUUCCGGUUGUCACGCCAGUGGCAUUGCCGGGUAGCUACGUUCGGACAGGAUAACCGCUGAAAGCAUCUAAGCGGGAAGCCCCCUUCAAGAUGAGAUCUCACAGGACUUUAAGUCCCUAAAGAGCCGUUCAAGACUAGGACGUUGAUAGGUUGGGUGUGUAAGCACGGUAACGUGUUGAGCUAACCAAUACUAAUUGCUCGUGAGGCUUGACC